GGGGCGGGGCCUAUACAUGCAGUCGACGCGCAGCGAGAGGUGCUUGCACCUUUCAAGCGAGUGGCGAACGGGUGAGUAACACGUGGAUAACCUGCCUCAAGGCUGGGGAUGACAUUUGGAAACAGAUGCUAAUACCGAAUAAAACUUAGUAUCGCAUGAUAUCAAGUUAAAAGGCGCUACGGCGUCACCUAGAGAUGGAUCCGCGGUGCAUUAGUUAGUUGGUGGGGUAAAGGCUUACCAAGACGAUGAUGCAUAGCCGAGUUGAGAGACUGAUCGGCCACAUUGGGACUGAGACACGGCCCAAACUCCUACGGGAGGCUGCAGUAGGGAAUCUUCCACAAUGGGCGCAAGCCUGAUGGAGCAACGCCGCGUGUGUGAUGAAGGCUUUCGGGUCGUAAAGCACUGUUGUAUGGGAAGAAAUGCUAAAAUAGGGAAUGAUUUUAGUUUGACGGUACCAUACCAGAAAGGGACGGCUAAAUACGUGCCAGCAGCCGCGGUAAUACGUAUGUCCCGAGCGUUAUCCGGAUUUAUUGGGCGUAAAGCGAGCGCAGACGGUUGAUUAAGUCUGAUGUGAAAGCCCGGAGCUCAACUCCGGAAUGGCAUUGGAAACUGGUUAACUUGAGUGUUGUAGAGGUAAGUGGAACUCCAUGUGUAGCGGUGGAAUGCGUAGAUAUAUGGAAGAACACCAGUGGCGAAGGCGGCUUACUGGACAACAACUGACGUUGAGGGCUCGAAAGUGUGGGUAGCAAACAGGAUUAGAUACCCUGGUAGUCCACACCGUAAACGAUGAAUACUAGGUGUUAGGAGGUUUCCGCCUCUUAGGUGCCGAAGCUAACGCAUUAAGUAUUCCGCCUGGGGGAGUACGACCGCAAGGGUUGAAACUCAAAGGAAUUUGACGGGGGACCCCGCAACAAAGCGGGUGGGAGCAUGUGGGUUUAAAUUCGAAAGCAACGGCGAAAGAACCUUUACCAGGGUCUUGGACAUCCUUUUGGAAAGCUUUUUAAGAAGAUAAGAAGUGGUUCUCUUUCGGGGAGACCAAAGGUGAACCAGGGUGGGGUUGCAAUGGAUCGUCGUUCAGGCUCGAUGGUUCGAGAAGAUGUGGGGGCUAGGUUCCCGCAAACGAAGGCGGCAAACCGUUAAGUAUG
rnacentral:rRNA from 1 species